UGGGGAAUCUUGCGCAAUGGGCGAAAGCCUGACGCAGCGACGCCGCGUGCGGGAAGAAGGCCUUCGGGUUGUAAACCGCUUUCAGGAGGGACGAAGCCACUCGGGUUAAUAGCCCAGAGGGUGACGGUACCUCCAGAAGAAGCCCCGGCUAACUACGUGCCAGCAGCCGCGGUAAUACGUAGGGGGCAAGCGUUGUCCGGAUUUAUUGGGCGUAAAGAGCGUGUAGGCGGCUUGGCAAGUCCGUUGUGAAAACUGGAGGCUCAACCUUCAGACGUCGAUGGAAACUGCCUGGCUAGAGUCCGGAAGAGGAGAGUGGAAUUCCUGGUGUAGCGGUGAAAUGCGCAGAUAUCAGGAAGAACACCCGUGGCGAAGGCGGCUCUCUGGGACGGUACUGACGCUGAGACGCGAAAGCAUGGGGAGCGAACAGG
rnacentral:rRNA from 1 species